AUGAAGACCAGCUGCUGCCACUGCCAAUAUUUAUCUCUGGACUGUAGCAGUACACCGAAUUGUACUGUAGCGGGGAUGAUUGAGAUGCUCUGGGGGUGUAUUGUAUACCUUCCAGUUUUCUUCAUGUCUGAAUUGAAUUUUCUUUUCUUGAUGUCAGUCUCCUUCAUAUCACCUCAAGGUUUAGACUUGUGAAGGAACAAGUAUGAUGGGGAUACGAGUCUUGAAAGGAGACAUAUUGUACGUAAUCAGAAGGAAGAGGAAAAAAGGACUUGUCCGUUUUGAUACUUUGCUGUAGGUGGCCAGUUUUGUUUCUCAUAGGGAAAUCUGAUCCACCUGUCGUGUUGGCUCCUAAGGAACUGCUGUUGUAAGCGGCUCAUCAAGAGUUGAACCUCAUGUAGCCUUGUUGGGAAUAUGGAAAAGGAAGAAAGCCACAGGACUGCCCAUUCAGUCUUGGGAAGAUCUGGAUGAUUCUGCACACAAGCAAAAAUGACUUGAAAUUUAUGUACAGACACCUCUCUACCAAUCCAUCUUCAGCUGACUGAAUGUUGUAUAAUAGCCCUUCUCCAAAGCAGGGGUGGAAUGUUCUGGUUUCACCACAGAUUUUCUACUCAUUUCAUUUUUGGAAUCAGCUUAAAGAUUCCAGGACCCUUUUGUAUAUAACCUUUAUUCUUUUUCUUUUUUAAAAAUAAUUUUGUUUCAUAUUUAAAGUCCUUGUAUUAGUCAAUGAUUCAUGUUCACCAUUAUUUGAACCAUUUGCCAUUACAAGAAAGAGAAAUACUUAUUUGUGUUUUAAAUAAAACUGGUGUAGGAAAGUC